GGGGAGAGAACCAACAGUGAAAUAAAAUAAGCUGCUUGUUUUUCUUAAAGGAAAUAAUAAAGAGUUUUGGAUGCAAAGAAGUAAAGCCCUCUGCCCCAAACAAGCUUACAAUCUGAAAAAUUGAAAGUGAUGAUAACAAGACAGGGGGAAACAGAAGCAGCAAGUGAUGAAUGAAGAAAAGAAAUUAGGCAAAGUUAUUUCCAUGGAACAUCAUAAAAGAAUUUUAUCUGCCAAUUGUCAAGGACAAAAGUUUCCAGAGUCUCACUGUGGAUGAAUUUUAUCAGCCUUCGCUGUAAUACUUUUGUCUGUAUCAUCCUUAAGAAAAUGCAUUUUGGAGAAGAAUGGACGUAAUCUGGUAAAGCCAUUGGAGGUAUGAUGGUCAUUGACUUCUCUGUAGUGUCACCCACUUUAUGGACUUCCCUGCUUCAUGAAAUCACACAGCCCAUCAUCAUCAGGAACAGAAAAAGCAUAUGGGUAGUGACACUGCUUAAUCCUCUCCCCUUCUGCCAGUUGUCAGCUAAGAAUUGCUCCCACAAAUCAGUUUUUCUCCCUGUGGGGGAAAGUUACGAGGCUGUUAAAAUUAAAUUUGUUUACGUGAUCUGGGAUAUUCAAUGUUUCAGCAUGAGUUGAAGCAAUUGUGGGGUUGCGGGGCUCAAGAUUGGAUCCUAAACCAGCAUUUCAGUGGCCUGGAAAUGAAUUCUAGGAACACUUCCAUAUCUUGACAGUUGAUCAUGGGAAACAGUAG